rnacentral:rRNA from 1 species
UACGUAGGGUGCGAGCGUUGUCCGGAAUUAUUGGGCGUAAAGAGCUCGUAGGCGGUGUGUCACGUCGGCCGUGAAAACCUGCAGCUUAACUGUGGGCGUGCGGUCGAUACGGGCAUCACUGGAGUUCGGCAGGGGAGACUGGAAUUCCUGGUGUAGCGGUGAAAUGCGCAGAUAUCAGGAGGAACACCGGUGGCGAAGGCGGGUCUCUGGGCCGAUACUGACGCUGAGGAGCGAAAGCGUGGGGAGAAACAGG